UACAAUACAGAAGAAAAAUUUUGCAUUUUCGAAAUACUGCAUAUUCGUUUAUUCAAUGAUGAUAAUAUUAGAAUCGCAAUAUCGUCGAUAGUUUAUUGUAUUAUCGAUUUUUCCGUAAGUAAAAUUUUUAAUCAUCAUAUCUGUAACUAGCACGUCUUACGUAGAAAUUGCAAAUGAACGACAUGGCAUCAAUUUCGCGCACAGCUGCACGCAGGGCCGCGUGUGCGUGUCUCGCUCAUGUCUCUUGUCGACAGUCUGACCUGACUGUCUGUUCUGAUAAAUGAAAGUUCCUGAUAAAUUUGUCUUAUAAAUAACGGCUCGAUACCGGGUGAAUGAUCAUGAGGAUGAAAAUUUCAUCGUGGUACAAAUCGUUCAAAGGAGAUGAAUCAAAUUCAACAUAUUUUUAUCCAUUGAUAAAGUUAACCUCAAAAAAAAAAGAAUUCUUUUGUUUCUUUCGUUAUAUUUAUUAAUAAAAAUUUACAAAAAAAAAUAAGAACCAUUUUGUUUUAAUAUUUUGGUGAAGAAAAAAAUCCAAAUAAAUUAUGUUAUCGUUAUUAAUUGGGUUAUCUUUCUCGAUUCGAUGAUCAAAGGAAAAAAAAAGAAAUAUGCCCACAUAUAUACGCGGACAGUGAAUCAAUUUAACUAAGAUCAUCGAUGAAUUUAUUUUUGGCAGUGGCUUUUGAUUGGAAAUGAAUUUCUCUUGACGAUAAAUGGAAGAAAAAAUGAUUUAAAAUCUUGAAUUAAUAAAAGAUGAUGGAGGUGCGAAAUUAUAUUGUGAUAAAGUAAUGUCUUUGCGAAGAAUAUAUAUACAUAUCUUUUGAAAUUGAUGUGUUAAUGCAUUUUAUACUUUCAUCAAAGAUAAAUGAUCCAUGAUUUUGAUAAAUGAUGAAAGAAUGAAAAUUUAGAAAUCAUACAUAAACAUACGAAUUUCUAAAAAAUUUUAUAUAAUGAAAAGAAUCAAGCGAUGAUCCUUCUUGUUUGUAUCGAUAUCGAAUCUGCUUCUGACUAGUUUCAACGAUAAAAAUAUGACAAUAAGGCGGCAAGUAAAGGGGAGAACCUAUCGCGGGAAUAAAAGACAUUUCGUUUGCGCUAACACGAGCUUCAAUAAAAACUCAAUUUAUAAGACAACCUUCGACCUCACUAAAUGGCUCGCAGCUAUCUUUGCCAAGUUUCAACGUCGAAUUCCAAUAUGAUCGUCAAUAUAGACGGCAAAAUUUACAAUAGUUUUGACUAAAAUGCUAUGAAAAUUGAGUUGAAAACUUGGAAAAAAAAUGUUUUGUCUAAACAAAUUACCAAUCAAAAGACUAAGUUAUUCUGACAGUAAUUCUCAACUUAUAAGAUUAAAAAUUACAUUAUAUGUAUACACACAUAAUAUAUCUUAUUAAAUUUAUUAUAAACAUUAUUGUUCAAAAAGAAAAUUAAUAAAAACAAUUUGUUGCUCUGAGUUUAGUUUGAAAGAAGAUGAAUUCUAUUAUUAUCUGAUUCUAUUAUUAUACUAUUAUUAUUAAAAAGAUAAUAAAUAUUUUAAGAUAUCAUAAAUUGGAGAAAUAUUGAUAUUUUUAAAAUAUAAAUAAAUAAUACUGUGGACCAAAAUGCAUUAUUUAUAUUUUUUAUAAGAAGUAAAUAUACAAGUGAUUUCCAUCAAACAAAGGAAUAAGCGGCAAAAUGAAAAAAUAAAAUAGUUAUUUUUUCUAUCAAAAUUAGAAUGAGGUCACGUCAUCACGCGUUAAAGUGGAGUAGAUACGGUGUGCAAGCCAACUACUUCCGGUUUCUCGGUGCCGGAACUGCACGCACGGCCGGCUUGUUGUCGCGACGACCCACUCGCGGCAGAACUCGCCCAAAGUCAUUUCACGCCCGGUGGAGCGCGGAAACGGAUAUACCGAUAACUCCUAACUUGAUGGAUAUCCGCGCUUCAGGAAUCGAAAGUAUCAAGUUUUCCCAUAGCUACGUUAUUCAUGGUUUCCUCUCAAGGAAAAGUCAAUGCACUGGCUACACAUCGAGAAGCGUGGAAACGCGUGAUAUUAUUUUGAUUUAAAGGAAAUCAACAGGUGAUCGCCGACAGACGGGUAGCGAGUGUCGAAAUCUAGAGGCUCGCCUCUCUACCUGUUUCAGGAUCAUUUUCGAUGUUAUCCCGCAACAUAUGCCCGACAAGGGGCAGAUGGUAAAAAAGCGUUGAGCCAAAGCAGCAGCGUGUGACACGGGACAGUUUAAAGGGCCGUGAUGCUGCUCAUCGGGCCAACCACCAAUCACUGCUUCUUUUUUGAUACAACGAUGAUGCACGAACACACAUAGGACAUUGCUCUCUAAUUAUCCAUCGAUUAUCUUUUAAUAGAAACUCUCAUGUUGGUAAAAUUUCGGAGGGCUUCUGUUAAAUCAUUCGCCGGAAGCAAAGACCAUUAAUAAAUAAAUAAUUAUAGAGAAGGGAAAACCGUGUCUUCAUUACAAUGUCAUCAUUACUAAUACCAAAACAUCGUCGAUUAAAAAUUAUAACACAAGUUUUUUAUAUAUAAUUGUAAAAAAAAAAAGAUUACUCGAUAAAGAUUGGAAAACAACUGACUGAAUCAAAUCAAGGAUAUGGAAAAAUCACGCCAGAAGAUAUAUCGAGCACUUCCAUUCUUCUCAACUCAGCUGCCACAUAAUUUCCCUAAGAAGAAACUUCAGACAGGAACUUCAGAAUCGAUAAGUGGUACUUGUUGACGUUUAACGAGCACCACGACCACUUUUGCCUACACUUCUCCAUUCCUACUGAGAGAAGCCGCUUCGAUCUCGACCGUGGCAAUUUCCUUCGAUUUUGCUUUGCUUCAACUCAUUUCUUUCUUGCUUGAUUUCGCCCGAGGCGCUAAGGAUCAGUUCUCAUUUGGUCGCGAUCUUCCAUAUUUUACACGAUACUUCAUGGUUAUCCUUGUUGUUGCCCGCAUCACUGUUGCACCUUUUCACACGACGAUCGAGCACAUCCCCAACUUCUAUUUAAAAAAGAAAUGAGAAAGAUAACAAUGGAAAACAAAUGGAAGAAUCACACAAUUAAAUAUAAUAAAAUCAUAUUUACUUGUAGAUUUGCUUGAAAGUAACAGAUAAAUACGGGAACGAAGAAUAGUUUAUGAUACAAUUGAUGAAAGAAAUGAAGAAAAAAUUAAUCUUUACUUAACUUUCAACAAUUUCAAAUCGCAAAACUGAUAAAAAGUUUCAAAAUCCAAGUUCUAGCCAACGGAGAACGAUCCGUUGAGCGGUCGAUGCCUCGAAUUCGGCCAGGAAACGAGAGAAAAUUUAUGAUAAGGAUGGGAAGAUCGAGCGAACCGCUCGAGGAGAAGGAUGACGGUUUCGUCCCACCUGUACGUACACGUAUGCGUAUACCGUGUGCACGACACCCCGUGCAUGCCAGAUCCAGCUGCCAUCCGUCCAAACCGCGCGCUCUAGCAAGGAGAAAGGAACGUACAGGUGCGAUCGUUAACUCAAUUGAACUUUGAUAAGUAAAAGUGCAUGAGCGUAUAUUUACUGACGCGAGCGGGACAACUUUAUCGUUGCGGCCGUUAUCGUUCCACCUCUUCCCGAUUAAUUACCGUUCUUUUGUCCAUAAAAGGAUGAUGGUAAGUACCAUCUCAUGCCUUUUCUUUUCCAUAAAUUCGAUUAGCGUUUCAAAUUGUAUCCUGACAAAUUGUAAGUAAUAAAGAUAAUUCGAUCGAGCAUA